GACGAACCGUGCAAACGUUAUUCGGAGUCACUGGGCAUAAAGGGCGCGUAGGCGGCUUUCUAAGUCAGGGGUGAAAUCCGGCAGCUCAACUGUCGCAGUGCCUUUGAUACUGGAGAGCUCGAGGGAGGUAGGGGUCUGUGGAACUUCCGGUGGAGCGGUGAAAUGCGUUGAUAUCGGAAGGAACGCCGGUGGCGAAAGCGACGGACUGGAUCUCUUCUGACGCUGAGGCGCGAAAGCCAGGGGAGCAAACAGG
rnacentral:rRNA from 1 species